rnacentral:lncRNA from 10 species
CUUUUCCUCUCUUGUCUCAGCGCUGUGAGACCACACACAGGCUGGAGUUGCAUGGGCCACGCAUCCAGCUUCGUGGGGUGAGCUGACCCGAUGGGAUGAAGCCAAGAUAACACACAGAUAACACAGUGAGAGGGAAAGAGGGUGUAGAGAAGAGAGAAGUGGGAAGUGGGCUAGGGAGGGUGAGAGGAGGAAGACAGAGAAGGAGACUGGGAGAAAAAACGGACUCCCAGUUCUUGGGUGCUGUGGCCCCUGCUCCUUUCUGUGGUUCCAUGAGCUAAUGAAUUUGCUGAGCUGCUUGAGGUACCAUGUUUCAUAGCGUCUAACAUGCCAUCGAUUGUAAGAUGCACUAUUAUUGAAGGUGCCAAUUAACUCUCAAUGGAUCGCAAAGCACAAUGUUAAAAUGUGGAACUCAGGGCAAAGGGGCUGUCCUUGAAGAGAUGAAUAUGAUGGUUCAAACUGGGCAUCUGUUUCUCAAAGAAGAAAACUUCCAGUUCAUUCAUGUGCUCUUCCUCCCCACUCUGGAAACGCCCUGACACAGAAGUCCUGCAGUGUUUUCAUCUCUUACAGAAGAGGUCUUUGGAAGGAGAGGGGGACAGCAAAGCCCAUUCACCUGUGGAAACAGAGGAGUAAGGUACCGUAAUGCUCCUUCUUUUAAGCAGCAAAGUUGCAAGCUCUGGGCUGGGGCAGAUAGUAGAGAGUCCUCCAGAAGCACCUCCUAUGCACCAGGGACACUUAUUCUUCACAUCAACCUUUGAGAGAGCUUCGGCUGCCACUGUUUUACAGCAGAGGAAAGCAAGGCCUGCUUCAAUUAACCUACCUGACCAAGGUCAGGCAAUAAAGGCAUCACAGAGCCAGGAUUCCAACCCUUCCCAACUGGCGACAUCCUUCCCUCUGUGGAACUUGGCUGACUCCUUGCGUUUGGUCCUAAUUAGCCCUAAAAUUGUCAAACAAGACACACUCCAGUGAGAAGUGAGAGCAAAAGUGUUACAGCUCAACACUGUCUCUCAGUGACUAAAAAUAAUGUUCACCUGCCGUUGUUCUUAGAAAUUCAGGAGAAAAACAAAGGGCCACAUUCCCAGCUGCUGAUCUCACCCUAUGGCCAUUCUAUUUUCGUCUGAACAUCUCCAGAAUGCACUCCAGGGCACCAUGUUGGAUUUAGUUGUUAAACCUCCUUAGUCUCCUCCUAUCUGUGCCAGUUCCUCAGUCAUUCCUUGUUUUUCAUGACUUUGCAUACUAUGUAUGUUGGCUCUCCAUGUAUGCAUUUAUCUACUAGUCAAAUGGAUCCAUCAACUCAUCCACGAGAUGGCCGGCCAUGUGUGGGCACUGGGAGCUCAGAAAUGGCACUGAGAGCUCAGAAAUGAAUCAGGUGAGAUCCCUGACUUCAAGGAUUUAACAGUCAAAGAGACUAGCAAGAAACUAGCAUGAAAUCAGACUAAUAAAAGCUAUGACAGAGGAAAGCACAGGGCAGAAGAGCUGACCCCAUGAGUACAAAUGGAAGGGCUGGAGCCCAGGGCCAAAGCACAGAGCACUUUUGUCAAACUUUGCACUGAGGUAGAGGAAUGAUCCUCCCUCAAGGAGCCCCUGCAAUGAUACAGGGAUCUUGAUUCAUAGGGCAUCAUUGCGGAGUGGGCAGACAAAAUUGUCCCACAGCACAGCAGCAUGCUUCAACAGAGAUGCACAUGCUCCAUCUGUGACAGAAAAGGUAUUGUAGUUGAAUUGUGCCUGCUCCCCAAAAUAUGUUGAAGGCUUAACCCCUGGUACCUGUGAAUGUGAUCUGAUUUGGAAACAGGGUAAUAAAAUUAAGAUGAAGUAAUACUGAAUUAGGAUGGGCCCUGAUUCAAUGACAGGUGUCCUUAUAAGAUGAGAGAAAUUUGGACCCAGACACGCAGGGAAAAUGCCAGUGACCACGGGGGCAGAGAUUGAAGUGACGCAUCAACAAGCCAAGGAGCGCCAAGGAUCGAGGGCAACCACCAGAAGCUGGAAGGAGUAAGAGGGGAUCCUUCCCUAGAGUCUUCAGAGAGGGCAUGGCCCUGUCGAUCCUUUGACUUAAGACUUCCCGCUUCCAGAACUGUGAGAGAAUAGAUUUUUGUUGUUCCAGGCCACUCUGUUUACAGUAAUUAGCUAUGGUAGCACUAAGAAACUAAUACAGUAGCUUCUAGAAUGGCUUCCAGUGGCCCCCACAUCUUGGUAUCCAUGGCCGUGUAUAAUCCCCUCCCACUGAGCACUGCUGGGGAAGAAAAUGUAGUGAAAGUGAUGAAUGUCACUUUCAAGAUUAGGCUAUAAAAGACAGUGACUUCUGGAGUUCUCAUUCUCUCUUUGCCUCUCUCUCUUCUCUCUCUCUUUCAGAGGCCUCCUCUCUCUCUCUCUCUCUCUCUCUCUCUCUGUCUGUCUCUGGGUCUUCUUCCUGGCUUGCUCUGAUGAAGCAAGUUACCACACUGUGAACUGCCCUAUGGAGAGAACCACGUGAUAAAGAACUGCGGUGGCUGCAGUCACCAGCUAGUGAUUUGCUGAGACUCUCCGUCUGGUGCCCAUGAGGAACUGAAUCCUGCCAACACCACAUCAGUGAGCUUGGAAGCUGACUCUUCCCCAGCGAAUCCUUUAGAUGACUGAAGCCUUGGCCAACACCUUGAUUACCACCUUGUAGAGAUGUUGAGCCAGAGAAUCCUGUUAAGCAAUACCCAGAUUCUUGACCUGCAGUAACUGUGAGAUAAUAAACGUUGUUCUAAGCCACUCAGUUUUGGGGUAAUUUGCUAUGCAGCAAUAGAUAACCAAUAUAGCAUAUAACAGA